AAACCAGCACCUCAAGUGGUCAGGAUGAUUAUUGGGCCUAAAGCAUCCGUAGCCGGCUCUGUAAGUUUUCGGUUAAAUCUGUACGCUCAACGUACAGGCUGCCGGGAAUACUGCAGAGCUAGGGAGUGGGAGAGGUAGACGGUACUCGGGAGGAAGGGAUAAAAUCCUUUGAUCUCUCGAUGACCACCUGUGGCGAAGGCGGUCUACCAGAACACGUCCGACGGUGAGGGAUGAAAGCUGGGGGAGCAAACCGGAUUAGAAACCCGAGUAGUCC
rnacentral:rRNA from 1 species